UCAACAGACGUCACAUUUGCACACAUACAUGAAAACAUGAAUCGGUUACUUAAAAUAGGAUUUAUGUUUUGGAUGACUGUUGUUGCAUGCGACAGUCAAAGAAUCACACUUGAAGAGAACAACGCCACUGCAUUAUUUACCAGCUGUGUACGGGGGGUGGAGGUUAAUGAUACAUUUUAUUUCUCUGGUCUAUUGGACGCCUCAAACACAGAUCCAGAGGACUGGCCACGAUUUGCUUCAUUCUAUCUGAGAGAGAAUCCCUCUUUGCCUUACUAUUGGUUUUGCGAUUUAGAUUGUAGAUUUAACGUUUACACACCAAC